ACAGCCAUAUUACAUUGAAACCCCAGUUCCUGUAUGAUCACCAAACUUAAGCAAUGUUGAGCCUGAUCAGUAUCUAGGUGGGUGACCGCUUAGGAAUACCAGGUGCU